CAAUGGGUUCUCCUGGGAUCUUCUAUUGGUUCCUAUGGCUCUCUAUGGACCACUAUGGGUCCCUAUUGGUCCAUACUGGUCCCUAUUGGUCCAUACUGGUUUCUACUGGUCCAUACUGGUCUAUACUGGUCCAUAAUGGUCCAUACUGGUCUAUACUGGUCCAUACUGGUCCUUACUGGUCCAUACUGGUCUAUACUGGUCCAUACUGGUCCAUACUGGUCUAUACUGGUCUAUACUGGUGUUUGAUAGGGGUGCAACAAUGGGCUCUCCUGGCAUCUUCUAUUGCUUCCUAUGGCUCUCUAUGGACCUCUAUGGGUCCCUAUUGGUCUAUACUGGUUUCUACUGGUCCAUACUGGUUCAUACUGGUCUAUACUGGUCCAUACUGGUCCAUACUGGUCCAUACUGGUGUGGGAAGGGGUUGGACAAUGGGUUCUCCUGGGAUCUUCUAUUGGUUCCUAUGGGUCUCUAUUCACCUCUAUGGGUCCGUAGCGGCCCAUACUGGUCCCU
ensembl:lncRNA